GAUGAACGCUGGCGGCGUGCCUAAUACAUGCAAGUCGAGCGAAUGGAUUAAGAGCUUGCUCUUAUGAAGUUAGCGGCGGACGGGUGAGUAACACGUGGGUAACCUGCCCAUAAGACUGGGAUAACUCCGGGAAACCGGGGCUAAUACCGGAUAACAUUUUGGACCGCAUGGUUCGAAAUUGAAAGGCGGCUUCGGCUGUCACUUAUGGGUGGACCCGCGUCGCAUUAGCUAGUUGGUGAGGUAACGGCUCACCAAGGCAACGAUGCGUAGCCGACCUGAGAGGGUGAUCGGCCACACUGGGACUGAGACACGGCCCAGACUCCUACGGGAGGUAGCAGUAGGGAAUCUUCCGCAAUGGACGAAAGUCUGACGGAGCAACGUCGCGUGAGUGAUGAAGGCUUUCGGGUCGUAAAACUCUGUUGUUAGGGAAGAACAAGUGCUAGUUGAAUAAGCUGGCACCUUGACGGUACCUAACCAGAAAGCCACGGCUAACUACGUGCCAGCCGCCGCAGUAA
rnacentral:rRNA from 1 species